GCCAGGCAUGGUGGCGCGUGCCUGUAAUCCAGCUACUCGGGAGGCUGAGGCAGGAGAAUUGCUUGAACCAGGAAGUCAGAGAUUGCAGUGAGCAGAGAUCGUGCCACUGCACUCCAGCCUGGCAACAGGGCGAGACUCUGUCUCAC
ensembl:misc_RNA Metazoa_SRP Metazoan signal recognition particle RNA